rnacentral:rRNA from 1 species
GACGAACGCUGGCGGCGUGCUUAACACAUGCAAGUCGAACGGCAAGGCCCUGCUUGUGUGGGGUUCUCGAUUGGCGAACGGGUGAGUAACACGUGAGUAACGUGCUCUUCAUUUUGGGAUGACUUCAGGAAACUGGGGCUAAUACCGUAUAGGAUAUCCUGCUGCAUGGUGGGGGUUGGAAAUUUUAGGCUGUUGGAGAUGGAUUCGCGGGUUAUCGGCUUGUUGGUGGGGUAGUGGCUUACCCAGCCUGAGACGGGUAGCCGGCCUGAGAGGGUGACCGGCCACAUUGCGACUGAGAUACGGAGCAGUCUCCUACGGGAGACAGUGGUGGCGAAUAUUACCCAACGAGAGGGAGUCUGAGAAGGAAGCGCUGCGUGCGGGAUGACGGCCUUCGGGUAGAAAAAAGCAUUAGCCUAUGACGAAGCGGGAGUGACGGUAAUCGGUAAAGAAGCACCGGCUAACUACGUG